UGGUGGCUGGGCCGGGGUCGGUCGGCUCGCGACGCUCGCCGGUCGCCUCUGCCGCGGGGGGCGCGGCUGUUGUGCCGGCCACCACCGAC
rnacentral:tRNA from 1 species